GGUUCAGGGAGGUUAAUGAACUUGUUUGUUCACACUGUUCUAAUAGAUUACAUGCCAGAGGAGGAGACAAAAACAUGAAUUCUGACUGUGGUUCUGACACGCACUUGGAAUGCAGGAGUGCAGUUCCCUGAGGUUCAUUUUCCCAGACAGACAACGAACUACGGGUCUCUUCAUCUGAGGUUAAUUGGAGUCUCUGUACCAUUCCUUAAAUUAAAAGAAAUGCCCUGAGGAAACUGAUGCACUGAAUGUGUCUCAAGAACUUUAUGUCCAGUUUAAGGUGGAACUCAGAAUGGAAAGAAAAGUGGUAAGUGGUGACCACAAGGUGAAUGCAACAGGAAAACAGAGCAGUGCAUAGUGAGUAUGCUGGUAACAUGGAUACUGUCCAGGGGAAAGCAAAGCAAUUGCCACUCUUAGCAGUUUCUAAUUCCUGACAAACCUGAGGAAAUCCACAUCUUAGACCCAACAGGACUCCGUUAUUUUCUAAAUCUGCAGAUGGAGUUACUCUGUAAUGAAAUAUUGAUUUUACAGCUGGAAACUGAAAACAGGAUAACUCUGAAACUGGAAGGAGAAACACGAGCCUGAACCACCAGCAUGCUGCAGUACCCAGUGCUAACCCUGGAGGAAAACGUGCCCCAUGAGAGGGAGCUGCUUCUCCAGGUGAUAGAACAGAAUAGCACCUGCUGAACAAUGGGAGGCACUCCCAUAACAGAGUUUGAGUGUCUCAUUUCAGGAUUGUUGAUGGGAGAAACAAUAUCUUCAGUCAAAGAUGAACUCAUGUCAAUAUUAAGGAACAUAUUUGAGACAUCUCAUCAGAUCUGAUGGAUUCUGUGUAUUUUUGGAAAAACAAGAACUGAAUCAGGUGAGAGGCAAAGCCUAUCUUAAAAUAACCUUACGGAGUUGAACCGUCAAAGAAGUGUUCUUUUUUCACAUCUAUGGAAGAUGAAACAACACCUUUGAAGUGGAGCUGGUUGGAUUUCAGAAUGAAGCUGCUUCACAGGUUUAG
rnacentral:lncRNA from 1 species